CGACCCGCGCGCAAUAAGGCGAGACGCUCGGCCUAAUAAUACCUCGCUCUAGGAGGUCGUCUGUGAUUUGCCGGAUCUGCGUUCGCUCUACAUUUGCGAAGCGCCUGGGUGCGAACGCAUAGAUCGACGGAUCUCUCAAAUGUACAUGCACUGAGAAGUCGUCGUUUACAGAAAUCAAUGGGUCGUCGACGGUCGACUUGCACGCUUCCUGUGUUGCCGCCACGAAAUCGGAUGCUACCUCGUCCGCGGUCACGCUGGCUGCAGUGAUCCCGAUGCAGGCUGCGCCCUGGUCGCCGACUUCGACUCCUUUUUCUUUAAUGCGGGGCAAUCAAACCGACGAUGCCCUUCUCUUUACAGUAGAAACAUGUGGUCUCACCUCGACAGUCCUUGUGCGUAUGACUUCUUUUACCGCAAUUUCUGCAGGCUGACUCCUUGCCGCCCUUGCUGGACUGACCCUGCUGCGCUGGUUUCCGGUCCCACUCGGAGGCGCCCUGAGUGAUACGCCGCAUCCUCUCCAGGAAGCCGUCCACCGUGUCCUCCGAUAGUGACAGCGCGGUCGCCUUCAAAGUGGUGAUGGUGAUUCCGCUCACCAGCAGAUGCACCUUGUCCGCCUCGGGAAGGUCCACUCGAUGCAGCAUUGCCAGUUUUUCUAUGGCAUAAUCGUCGAAGGUUUCUUUUGCAGGAAGCCAUUUUCGUGCCUCUAUUUUUUGCAUUACACGAAAGAACGAAAUUUUCCGGUCGAAAAUCUUAACUAACUCUGUUCGCAGGCCGCUCCAGGAUUCCACCGCAGCGUCUCCCUGCACGUCGUACCACCGGCGAGCCGAUUUGGUGAGGCGGCUGGAGGCUGCUAAGAGAAUCGCCCCGUCUGAAACGCUGUGGACCUGGGCGACUUUGUCCACCCGUCGGACCCACGCGUGCACGUUAUCAUCCUCUUGGCCCGCGAAUUCCGGGAUUUGAGAAGCCAGUGCCUGGAUUGAACCUGUCGGCGUCCAGGACUCCGCCGUCCGACGGUCCACGUCGUCCGUCGGUGACACUCUCGGGGCCCUAGAAGGACCCGGCGGAGAGACAGACUCCGCAUCUAGUGGCAGAACCGGGACAGCGGCGGGCUCUCGUCGCUGCUCCAUCACAAAAGACUCUGUGGCCGUCGCCGAAGUUUCUGACGACCCUGCGGCCCUAGCCGGUGCCACCUUUUUAUUCUGGGGCCUACUUGGUGGUGCUGCGAGCUGAGCCAACUCCUGGACCGGCCCGUGCCGCUCUAGAUGACUCAUAAUUGAGUCCACCAAGUGGCUACGGCCUCCCGUUGUCGGGAGAGCGUAUUUAUCCGCUUCCUUGCGAAGCUCCUCCAUCGUGAGGUUCUCCAGAGAGGCCCUGUCCAUUGUAAUUCGCGCGCGUGUCCGCAUACACGAAUCUAAUCGAGCGAAUAAAUCGACACUUUGUUUUAAGACAAAAA